rnacentral:rRNA from 1 species
GUGAGGAAUAUUGCGCAAUGGAGGCAACUCUGACGCAGCCAUGCCGCGUGCAGGAAGAAGGCGCUACGCGUUGUAAACUGCUUUUAACCGGGAAGAAACCCCAGGACGUGUCCUGGGUUGACGGUACCGGAGGAAUAAGCACCGGCUAACUUCGUGCCAGCAGCCGCGGUAAUACGAAGGGUGCAAGCGUUAUCCGGAUUCAUUGGGUUUAAAGGGUGCGUAGGCGGAGCGUUAAGUCAGUGGUGAAAUCCUGCAGCUUAACUGUAGACUUGCCAGUGAUACUGGCGCUCUUGAGUGCGCUUGAAGUGGGCGGAAUGUGCCGUGUAGCGGUGAAAUGCUUAGAUAUGGCACAGAACACCAAUUGCGAAGGCAGCUCACUAAGGCGAUACUGACGCUGAGGCACGAAAGCGUGGGGAUCGAACAGGAUUAGAUACCCCGGUAGUCC